rnacentral:tRNA from 1 species
GGUUGUGGCUCAGCAGUAGAGUGCUUGCCUAGCAUAUAUGAGGUGCUGGGUUCGAUCCUCAGCACCA